rnacentral:rRNA from 1 species
CCUACGGGGGGCUGCAGUGGGGAAUAUUGCACAAUGGGCGCAAGCCUGAUGCAGCCAUGCCGCGUGUGUGAAGAAGGCCUUCGGGUUGUAAAGCACUUUCAGCGGGGAGGAAGGCGUUAAGGUUAAUAACCUUGGCGAUUGACGUUACCCGCAGAAGAAGCACCGGCUAACUCCGUGCCAGCAGCCGCGGUAAUACGGAGGGUGCAAGCGUUAAUCGGAAUUACUGGGCGUAAAGCGCACGCAGGCGGUCUGUCAAGUCGGAUGUGAAAUCCCCGGGCUCAACCUGGGAACUGCAUUCGAAACUGGCAGGCUAGAGUCUUGUAGAGGGGGGUAGAUUCCCAGGUGUAGCGGUGAAAUGCGUAGAGGUCGGGAGGAAUCCCGGUGGCGAAGGCGGCCCCCUGGACAAAGACUGACGCUCAGGUGCGAAAGCGUGGGGAGCAACCAGGAUUAAUACCCCUGUAGUC